CCAUAGAAGAAGAAGAAGUGACAGCAGUCACGUGUAGUAAUGGAGGGUGUGCGGGUGCUCGAGCUGUACAGCGGGAUAGGAGGGAUGCAUUAUGCUUUAAAGGAGAGCGGCAUACCAGCCCAGGUUGUGGCUGCCAUCGACAUAAACACCACAGCAAAUCAAAUCUACAAGCACAAUUUCCCCGACACCGUCCUCUGGAGUAAGACCAUUGAGGGCAUAACACUUGACGACUUCAAUAGAUUAUCUUUUGACAUGAUUUUGAUGAGCCCUCCUUGCCAGCCAUUCACCAGGUUAGGACUUCAGGGUGACAUCGCUGAUCCCAGAACCAAGAGCUUCCUCUACAUCCUUGAUCUUCUGCCAAGGCUGUGCAGGUUACCUCGCUUCAUCCUGCUGGAGAAUGUGAAAGGCUUUGAGACCUCAUCUGCCAGGGAACAUUUGGUGAAAACACUGACGGUCUGUGGAUACACUUUCCAGGAGAUCAUGAUCUCUCCCACCAGUGUUGGGAUCCCAAAUUCAAGACUGCGUUAUUUCCUGCUCGCCAAGAUUUCAACAGAAAACUUCAGCUCAAAGAUUUUAGAUGCCUUUCCACAUCCUGCUGAGAGUGAUUCCCCUGAGCAGCCCACAGUCUUGAGUCCUCCCCACCCAGGUACCUGCCAGCCAGAAGAGGACCUGCAGGGCAGUCAUUUCCUGUAUAAACUAGAGACAACGCUGGAAGUCCAGAAGAAGAUGAGUCAGAACAACGAUCUGUCCGUCAGGCAGAUCCAAGACUUCCUGGAACCACAGAUGGAAGUAGACAUGGAACACUAUCUCCUUCCUCCUAAAACGCUGCUGCGGUACGCUCUGAUCUUGGACAUUGUUCGGCCCACCUGCAGGAGGUCUGUCUGCUUCACCAAAGGCUACCGUGAAUAUAUACACCAGUCAGCCACAACAUUCAAACCACAGAUGGAUGAAGUGAAUAACAUUGAUCAUCUCGUUACAAUACAGAGUUCUGCUGGGACACCUUGGGUCCUGACAUUCACGUGGCUGCCACCUGACACAUUCAACACGCCCAAACACAGUUGCAGACCAACUAAAGAAAGUCAACAUAUAUUGAAUCAAAGUUUGAAUAUAUUGAAUUAAACUUGAGAAGCUUUAAUGAAAUCUAUAAUAAAUUCUCAAAUGUAGACUUUUAAGAUCUCCUCUUUUUAAACGAUAAGGUCGCUUCUCUGAAAUCCUGAAACAUAGUAAUAGUAAAAAUGCAUUCAUUAUUUUACUCAUUAAUUUAUUUACUUUUAUCAGUAUUUGUAACAGUCAUGCUUCAGCAACCCAGCACAAGCAGUGGGCGUGUAGUUACAAAAACUCGGAGUUCACAUCCAAGCAGCUCAGGAACUUGCAGAGGUUUGUGCCGGGGACACCACAGUGAGCAUACACCUGUUUCUAGAUGGAGUAUUAGUUAUACCAGGAGUGUAAGUGGGGUGUUUGAUAAACUUGCUGAUAGUGUUUGUCCCCCCUGCUGUUCCUUUGUCUGGUUGUUUGAUCACUCUUUAAACAGUCACGCAGUAAUGCUGUUCUUUGAUUGUAUUAUGUGUUGUUUCCAUAGCUACGGGCGGUACGUGGAGGGAACUGGCUCAGUGCUGCAGUGCUGCACGGAAACAGAGAUGGAGAGUGUGUUUAAAGGUCUGGACCAGUGCUCUGAAGAUGAGAAACUCCAGCGGCUGUCGAAACUGAAGCUCCGUUAUUUCACUCCCA